AUUGAACGCUGGCGGCAUGCCUUACACAUGCAAGUCGAGCGGUAACGCGGGGCAACCUGGCGACGAGUGGCGAACGGGUGAGUAAUGUAUCGGAACGUGCCCAGUUGUGGGGGAUAACUGCUCGAAAGAGCAGCUAAUACCGCAUACGACCUGAGGGUGAAAGCGGGGGAUCGCAAGACCUCGCGCACUUGGAGCGGCCGAUAUCGGAUUAGGUAGUUGGUGAGGUAAAGGCUCACCAAGCCGACGAGCUGUAGCGGGUCUGAGAGGACGACCAGCCACACUGGGACUGAGAAACGGCCCAGACUCCUACGGGAGGCAGCAGUGGGGAAUUUUGGACAAUGGACGCAAGUCUGAUCCAGCCAUGCCGCGUGCGGGAAGAAGGCCUUCGGGUUGUAAACCGCUUUUGUCAGGGAAGAAACGCUCUGGGUUAAUACCUCGGGGUAAUGACGGUACCUGAAGAAUAAGCACCGGCUAACUACGUGCCAGCAGCCGCAGUAAAAC
rnacentral:rRNA from 1 species